GUAAUUUCCAUCAUUAUAAUAUUGCACUGAGUAUUUUCACUGCCCUAAUAAUCCUCUGUGUUUUGCCUGUUUAUCCCCCUCCCAUCC